GAAAAGAUAAGCUAAACUACCAAGCUUACGGGCUCAUACCCCGUCUAUGAAAACCUUUUCUCUUUUCA